GCGGCGGUGGUGGAACGGUAGACACGCCAGCUUGAGGGGCUGGUGCCCGCAAGGGUGUGGGGGUUCAAAUCCCCCUCGCCGCA
rnacentral:tRNA from 1 species